AAUAGUAGGCAAGGUGCUUGGGGCAGGCCAGGUUCUGCUGGGGGCAGCAGCAUGGUCAGCACCCCCAGGGCAGGCUGGCCCAGCUCCACCAGUGCCACAGGGGGGCAGGGGCUGUGCCCAGCUGUACAAGCAGCUCAGAGCAGCACUGAGGGGAUCCAGAAGUCCCAGGUGUGCCCCAUCUUGGGUUUCUAGGGAUGCCACAGGCCCCAGCAGCAGACACAGCAGGGACCCAGCCAUGCAGCAGGAUGAGGGGAGGGCAGGUGAUCUUGGUCUGACUUGCUGCAAGCUGCCCUCUGCAAGACUGUGCCACCUGCCACAGCUGGCCCUUGGGACAUUCUCUGUUCCUGCUUUAAUGCUUGUGGCUGCCACAGUCCAUCAAGAGCCUUGCCAAGAGAAGUCCUGCACAGUCACGAGUACUGUGUGAGAAGAGGCUGCUUUUCCUCUACCUUUCCCACAGAAAGAGAUUUGUGUUGUGAAGUUGGGCACAAUAAGGUGGUAUGGAUUCAAGUUGCCUGUUCCAUUCUCCUGGGGGACCAGAGAACAGCAAUCAUAUGAGAAAUCCCACCUGAACCAUGGAUACAGCAGAAAAGAAAAACAAUCUUCUGCACCGCUGAAAACAAUAGCCUGUGACCAGUCUGUUGAGCCCUGGGAGCUCCUUGCACUCUGCCAUAUACAGUAUCUACAGUACCAGCCUCUCACCACGCUGCUCCUAGCUGGCAAAACCUGCUGGGCCAGGGCCUCAGGUUUGAAACAGCUGUCACAAAAGCAAAGGCUCUUCUUGCUGGGUCAGGGGCUGAAGAUAGCAGUGGCUGGAGACAGCACCUUCCCUGACUUGGCAAGGCUGUCUGCAAGGUGGCUCACCUGGCUGCAUGUGCACUCUCAUCUUUAAUUCCUUUGCCAGCACAGAAAAGGAUCCCUGAGUGCCAGGAAAGCUCGUGCUGUGUAGCUCAAGACCAAAUCUGGGCCAGCAGGAGAACCACCCUGCACCAGGGCAGCAGGUGUACUGAGCUAUUGGCUGUGCUUGCUGCAGCACCAGAGACCCUGGGGUAAAUUGUAUUUAAAGUAAAAACCCACUGGGCAUAUUGUGGCCAUAUUGUGCCUCAGGAAGAACUGCCUUGAGGGGAGGAGGAUAACAAGAGACAACCAAAGCCUGCUGGUUUGAGGACCAGCUGCUUCAGCAGAACCCCUGCAAAUUGCAUCUCACUUCUGUGUCUCCUGCUGUCCCUUACCCUGGUGUUUUCCUUGUGUCACUGACCAUCACCUGGCCAAGAGCUACUGUAGGUUUCAUUUGCAUGCUCAAAGCACAUUUAAAGAGAUGCUGGCAUUUUUCCAAACCGAGAAAAAGAUCUGCUAAUAUACUGGAUAAUAUGUUACACUGUAACAUAAUGUCAGAAUGAAAAAUUGUUCUGAGCAAUCAUUAAAAGCAAAAAUUAAACUAUAAAGUACAAUCAGCCCUUGAAUGUAAAAUCACAAUUUAAACUCAUACUUUAUGAAGACAUAGGCAUAAAGAGA